ACUAAAAAAAUCCUACUAUAAACUCUUCAAAGUUUAUUGGAUCAUAUUUUUAGUUAUUAAAAGGUUUCAUAUCUUCCAUUAAACUCCAGCCAAAAUAUACAUUGAACUCUUCAAAGUUUAUUGAAUCAUACUUUUAGUUAUUAAAAUGUUUCAUUUUUCAAUUGAAAUCUAUAUUCAUUGAAUGUCAUACAAUCAUAAAAUUCAAUUCAUUGAAUCCAAAUUAUACAUGCCACAUCUUUAAACUUUCUCUACAAACUAUCCAUUAUGCAUACUCUUACCACUCUCCAUGUCAUGCCCAAAGUAAUGAGUUGGCUGCUUGCCACAGCAUACACACCAACUCCUACGGGAAUGUUGUAGAGGUGGUGUUGUAUUAACGGUGACAUAUCGAUGAGGAGAACCAUGGCCUCUGCAACACUAAAUCAAAAAGAAUUUCACUCAAUUCCCCUUCCCACGUUGGAGCUUUAAUAGUGAGGUGGGCGAAUGCUGUGAGGACUAUACCCACCACCUUUAAUAUGCACUAAGUUUGUAGAUAUAAAAAUGCUAAACGUUUCUAUAUCUACCUAUCUUGUGUUCCUUCCCAGCCUUCUAUUCAUUUAAUUAAAAACAGUUGUCUCCAUUUUAUUGUUUUACUAGUUUGAGAAUGUAAAAUGAUGACAAAGGUUUUAAUAUUCAUAAAAUUAAAAACAAUUGUCUCCAUUUUAUAGUUUUAUUAGAUUGGGAGUGCCAAAACUAAAAUGAUGACCAAGGUUUUAAUAAUAUUGAAUAGAAGGAUGGGAAAACACAAAAAUAAUAAGUUCUAAUUAAUCUAAAAAUAUACGUAAACAAGCUUCACAAAAACAAAGCAUAAUAAAAUUGUUGAACAUAUGUUUUUUUUAAAUGUUAAAAUUGUUCUUAAACAUAGUAAUUACAUUCCAAUAAAACCUUCAGAAAUAUAUGUAAAAUUUCAUAACAUUGAACACAUGAUUCUGAGAUGUAAAACAUGUUUUUUCAUAAACUAUAUGUGGAAAACUUAGAUAUUCCACUUGGUGAAAUAAUUAAAAAAGAUUAGGUACCAACAAAUAUUAGAAAAACAUGAUUAUCAGCAUCAAACAAAAGUAACACAAAAAUCUGAAAAGUUGGAUGUCUUAGAUAAAAAGCAAUAAAACCUGAUGAAGUUACCAAACAAAACUUCAACCCUACCAGCACUACAGAAUCAAAAAGCUACCAUCAGUGACUAGACAAUAUACAGCUCCAUCAUAAAGGUCAAUACCAACUCCAUGGCUGCAGAAGGUGAUGAAUGAAUGAAAGAAGCUAUCCUACUGUCUACUUAGAUCUCUGCCUCAUCUUUCGUCGCUUCCUCUUUAGUCUCCUCAUUCGCUUCUUCUUCCACUGCAACAAAAAGAUCCUGGAGUUAAAUGCUACUCAUCCAAAUCUACAACUCUAACAACAAAUCUAUACAGAGCUAUCAAAUUCCCCAAGCCUAAAUACUUGAAAAUCAGAUUGGUAAGAGUAUUAAAAAACUUAACAAAAACAUCCGGGAAGUGGAUGUCAGAAAACCAAAUGAAUCCAUGCAAACGCAGACAACUUUAGAAUGACUAAUCACAAAACAAGUAUUAUGUUGAUGCGAAGCUUCAGAUUCCUAGGGUUUUAGAUUGAUUAAACGAACGAUCGAAGCCAAUAACAAAACAAUUCGAGUAAUGAUGAGGAAGAAUUUUACCUUGGCACGCAUGGUUCAAGCUUUCUUGUGUUUUCGCUCUCUUUCUUGGGUUCUGAAUUUCUGAUCGGCCGAUAGACAGUGUCGAAUCAAUCUGGACGAAGAAAGGCAAGGCGUGUUGGCUUUUAUUUAUAGCUAGGGUUUGGGUUAGACCAUAGCAGUUGGGCUUUAGAUAUAUUUAAAUGGGCUUA
rnacentral:lncRNA from 1 species